GUUGAGAGGAAUGUUGGCUGGCUGAAGGCCUUAAUUUUCACAACAAGAAGUUCAAAGAGGGAUGAACUUUAAGGCUUGGGAUUAGGCUUCAUUCCCCUCAAA
rnacentral:pre_miRNA from 1 species